CACGUAGGGCGCGAGCGUUGUCCGGAAUUAUUGGGCGUAAAGAGCUCGUAGGCGGCCUGUUGCGUCCGCUGUGAAAGCCCGGGGCUUAACCCCGGGUCGGCAGUGGAUACGGGCAGGCUAGAGGUAGGUAGGGGAGAAUGGAGUUCCCGGUGUAGCGGUGAAAUGCGCAGAUAUCAGGAGGAACACCGGUGGCGAAGGCGGGUCUCUGGGCCGAUACUGACACUGAGGAGCGAAAGCGUGGGGAGCGAACAGG
rnacentral:rRNA from 1 species